ACUGAGUGCCGUCCCGCGUGCCUGCUAAGUUAGGGUGGCGGAGCUGGAGCGGUGGCAUAGCCGUGCGAGGUGAGCCAGGACAGGAGAGGGAGUAGUCCCGUCUGGGAGGCAGAGGAAGAAAGAAGAGCCUGCCUGAAGAUACUGAGUGCCGUCCCGCGUGCCUGCUAAGUUAGGUGAGGGUGGUGGUGUCAUCAUGACCAACUGCUGCUCCCUAUUGUGAAGUUGACCGCGUGCCCCCAGACUGCUGCUCUGUCCCCAUUGACUAUAAUGAGGGCAGAGUUCCAGCGAGGCACGGCAAAAGGCUGUCAGAAUAAAACUAGAACAUGUCCCGUUUACUGUACAUAGGGUGGCGGAGCUGGAGCGGUGGCAUAGCCGUGCGAGGUGAGCCAGGACAGGAGAGGGAGUAGUCCCGUCUGGGAGGCAGAGGAAGAAAGAAGAGCCUGCCUGAAGAUACUGAGUGCCGUCCCGCGUGCCUGCUAAGUUAGGGCACCUGAAUACGUGAGAGGACGUCCCUGACCAGAGUGAAUCAGCAGGACCUUCAUGUGAGCAGCUACAACAUCUGGGCUGGCAGUACGGUGCCAGAAAACCAGCAAUAGUCCUUCAAAAUGUGUGACUC